GUACGGGAGGCAGCAGUGGGGAAUUUUGCGCAAUGGGCGAAAGCCUGACGCAGCAACGCCGCGUGGAGGAUGAAGGUCUUCGGAUCGUAAACUCCUGUCAGCGGGGACGAAAUCCCGAAAGGGAGUGACUGUACCCGCUGAGGAAGCCACGGCUAACUCCGUGCCAGCAGCCGCGGUAAUACGGAGGUGGCAAGCGUUGUUCGGAAUUACUGGGCGUAAAGGGCGCGUAGGCGGCAUGGCAAGUCAGAUGUGAAAGCCCCGGGCUCAACUCGGGAAUUGCAUCUGAAACUGCUUUGCUUGAGUCCUGGAGGGGGUAGUGGUAUUCCCAGUGUAGCGGUGAAAUGCGUAGAUAUUGGGAGGAACACCGGUGGCGAAGGCGGCUACCUGGACGGUGACUGACGCUGAUGCGCGAAAGCUAGGGGAGCAAACGGGAUUAGAUACCCGAGUAGUCC
rnacentral:rRNA from 1 species